GGGUACAGGGUGAUACUCCCGUACACAAAGGUGCACAGGCUGUGAGUUCGAUGAGUAAGGCGGGACACGUGGUAUCCUGUCUGAAUAUGGGGGGCCCAUCCUCCAAGGCUAAAUACUCCUGACUGACCGAUAGUGAACCAGUACCGUGAGGGAAAGGCGAAAAGAACCCCGGCGAGGGGAGUGAAACAGAACCUGAAACCGUGUACGUACAAGCAGUGGGAGCCUACUUGUUAGGUGACUGCGUACCUUUUGUAUAAUGGGUCAGCGACUUAUAUUCUGUAGCAAGGUUAACCGUAUAGGGGAGCCGAAGGGAAACCGAGUCUUAAUUGGGCGUUAAGUUGCAGGGUAUAGACC
rnacentral:rRNA from 1 species